rnacentral:lncRNA from 1 species
UGUCUUCCAGUUACUUUAGACUUUCCAGGAGCUCAUCUGGAGGGUCCGUGCAGGUCACAGAGGUUAACAUGGCAUUCAAGGCGCCAUCAGUCAGCCUAAAAUACCUUACAGAGGCAAAUGUUCCAGGAAACAGACCUCCAGAAAUGCACAGUGACAGCGAUAGGCUCUGGUCUCAGGGGAUGGAAAUACAGCCUGGAAGAAAUGGG